GGCCAGCAGCCGCGGUAAUACGGAGGGUGCGAGCGUUAAUCGGAAUUACUGGGCGUAAAGCGCACGUAGGCGGCCUGCUAAGUCAGCCGUGAAAGCCCCGGGCUCAACCUGGGAACGGCGGUUGAUACUGGCAAGCUAGAGUGUGGCAGAGGGUGGCGGAAUUUCCGGUGUAGCAGUGAAAUGCGUAGAGAUCGGAAGGAACACCAGUGGCGAAGGCGGCCAUCUGGGCCAACACUGACGCUGAGGAGCGAAAGCGUGGGGAGCAAACAGGAUUAGAUACCCUGGUAGUCCACGCCGUAAACGAUGAGAACUAGCCGUCGGGUCCAAUCGAGGAUUUGGUGGCGCAGCUAACGCGAUAAGUUCUCCGCCUGGGGAGUACGGCCGCAAGGUUAAAACUCAAAUGAAUUGACGGGGGCCCGCACA
rnacentral:rRNA from 1 species